CAGCGCAGCGGGGGACCCCUAGGUCCUGACGUUUUCACUCAUCUGGCGACGCCAUCUCUACAGGAUCACGGGCCCUGAAGCCCAGGUGCCGCCCCUGGGCUGCUGUCCCUCCGAGGGGUCCCGGGAGCUCUGACUUGGCUCCUGCUCCAGCUCUGCCGGGCCGAAGUCCCGUCCGCCGGCGGGAGGGACGGCUGGAGCCCCUGCCCGCGCACCCCGGGACCGAGGGACGGACGGACGGACGGAGGGAGGGACGGAGCCCCUGCCCGCGCACCCCGGGACCGAGGGACGGACGGACGGACGGAGGGAGGGACGGAGCCCCUGCCCGCGCACCCCGGGACCGAGGGACGGACGGACGGACGGAGCCCCUGCCCGCGCACCCCGGGACCGAGGGACGGACGGACGGACGGAGGGAGGGACGGAGCCCCUGCCCGCGCACCCCGGGACCGAGGGACGGACGGACGGACGGACGGAGGGCGGAGCCCCUGCCCGCGCACCCCGGGUCGGACGGACGGAGCCGUGGUCUCCCCCACUCCCGCAGGGUGAAAGCCGGAGCCCGUGGUCCCGCCCAGGGUGGAGGACUGGGGAUCCGGUCUCCAAGGUGGAUCACAUUCCUGAGGACCAAGCCUCUGCUCUUUGCCCCGCUCUCAUUAAAAUUCUUGAAAAUGUUGCACCAACAUCGACACUGUGCCAGAGUCCGUGACACCUGCAGGGACAGGCGGGCAGCCAAAUCCAGGAGGUGGGCUGUUCUGUGGAAAGAUGACCCAGCUUAUGGAUUAAUUAAGGGGCUGGAGGAAAAGAAAGGAAGUGAACCGGUUGACAAUGGAAGCUUAAAGACAUGAUUAAAUGGAUGUCUGGACCUUCUUUGGAUCACGAUAGAGCAAACCAACUGUACAAAAGGCUCAUUCUUGGCCCACUUUUGAUUGUUCCUUUGUUUUGGUGGCCAAAUCCUCCGCCCCAAGGAAACCAGGGUUGGGAGACCUGUCUGGACGAGAGACCUGAUUUCUGGCAGCAAAUUGUCCACCACUUGUCCCUAGCACGCUGGCUCCAAGUAGAAAGGAAGUUCUGGGUAAGAAAAUGCCACCAGGCAUCGAAAGAUGAAUGGAUAAAGAAGAUGCGGUUUAUGUAUACAAUGGAAUAUUACUCAGCCAUUAGAAACGACAAAUACCCACCAUUUGCUUCAACGUGGAUGGAACUGGAGGGUAUUAUGCGGAGUGAAACCCAAUGGACGUCUGACUCCCGCUGUGACUUUUGCUGCUACUUUCCCCCUGUUUCCCCAUCUGGGGGUUCAUCCCAGCUGCGUCCAGGCAGUGUGAGCGAGUCCUAACAUCCGUUCAAUGACAAGACUGUGCGCCUGCUGCAGGGAAACCUCCAGCCUGCCCUCAAACAUGACGCUUGCUUGCAUCAGGGGCUCUGGUCCCCCACCUCUGGGCAGGUCGGUGGGGUGGAGGCAGAGUGAGUGGGGCUGAGUAGAGAAGCCCAGGAAGGAGGCCAGAUGCCAGGCCUCACCCUGCCCUCCAGAGAACUGUUGAGUUUCCACAGUUUCCAUCUAGAAAUCCAUGGAGAGAUGUUUUGGUUUCUACCAACUUAUCAGACAAUCAGGUAAGAUCCAAGUGCCUAGGCCUAAAGACUUUUGAACGUUAAAGGUAUCUGGGAUGAGAAAUUGCACUCUUAGGUGUUCACCUGAAGGCACUGAGAGUAGGAACUCAGAGACAUUUGUCAUGUUCGUGACAAUAUUGUUCCCAGUAGCUGAGAGGUGGAAGAGGCACCAGGCCCUUGGAUGGAGGUACAGAAACGCAGUGCGGCCCAUCCGUGCAACGCAAUGUUAUUCAGCAGAUUCAGGUUCCCAGGUUCCCAGGGGGUUCCUUCAGGUUGCCCAUGGAGUCCAGCUCCGGGCAACAGCAGAUCUUCAGUUCCUUGCUGACAGUCAGCCGAGGGCCACCCUCUGCCCCCAAGGCUGCACACUGCCUUCACUUUCACACGGCCCUUCCAGCUCCCAAGUGGGAGAGGCCAUCCAACAUGUUCUCGCGCUCUGAAGCUCUCUGACAUCCCCUGCUGGAGGAACCUCUCCACUUUUAAAGGACUCCCCAAGGUCAACCCCAUUGGAUGGAUAAUCUCCAGGAAGGCCAAUAAGGAAGAAGAUUCCGACACCUGCCAUAACAUAGUUGAAACUGGACAAUAUUGUGCUCAGCAAAAGCAAGCCAGGCAAUAAAAGGACUAAUAUUAUGUGAUUCCACUUGUAGGGAAUACCCCGAAUAGGCAAGUCUGUAGAGACAGCAGUAGUGGUUA